UCUUUCGAAAUUAAUUUAAAGCCAACAUUUUUUUUUUUAUUUGUAGCAUUUGAAUUUGCUUUUAACAUUGGUUGAUAAAAUUACCAAAAGAGUAUUUUUAAAUCAAAAAUUUGAGUAAAAUUAAAAAAGGUUUUUGAAACUUAACUAAAUUGUAAUAGCUCUGAUGUUGACCCGUGUUAAAGUUCUUGUGCUUGUCCUGCUGGAUGUUUCUUGUGACUGCAUUGUUGAUCAUGAAUUUUUAAUGCGCUAAUGAAUUUAAUUUAUGUGAAUGUUCGUGAAAUUAUGUAAACAUGUCAAUUAAGCCCAGCAAAAUUAGUUUUUAAAAGAUGAAAAUGUUGGACAUCCAUUUUGGAAGAUUGUAAGCAUGAAAAAAAUUGAUGGUGCUAU